rnacentral:rRNA from 1 species
GACGAACGCUGGCGGCGUGCCUAAUACAUGCAAGUAGAACGCACAGUUUAUACCGUAGCUUGCUACACCAUAGACUGUGAGUUGCGAACGGGUGAGUAACGCGUAGGUAACCUGCCUGGUAGCGGGGGAUAACUAUUGGAAACGAUAGCUAAUACCGCAUAAUAUUAAUUAUUGCAUGAUAAUUAAUUGAAAGGUGCAAUUGCACCACUACCAGAUGGACCUGCGUUGUAUUAGCUAGUAGGUGAGGUAACGGCUCACCUAGGCGACGAUACAUAGCCGACCUGAGAGGGUGAUCGGCCACACUGGGACUGAGACACGGCCCAGACUCCUACGGGAGGCAGCAGGAGGGAAUCUUCGGCAAUGGACGAAAGGCUGACCGAGCAACGCCGCGUGAGGGAAGAAGGGUUUCGGAUCGUAAAGCUCUGUUGUAAGAGAAGAACGGGUGUGAGAGUGGAAAGUUCACACUGUGACGGUAUCUUACCAGAAAGGGACGGCUAACUACGUG